GGGGCUUUGGUUCAGUGGUAGAGCAUCUGUUUUAAGUACAGGAGGUCACGGAUUCAAUCACUGGCACCUCCA